rnacentral:rRNA from 1 species
ACGAAAGUCUGAUGGAGCAAUAUCAUGUGAACGAUGAAGGUCUUCUGAUUGUAAAGUUCUUUUAUUUAGGAAAAAAAGCUUGAUAGGAAAUGAUUAAUCCUUGAUUGUACUAAAUGAAUAAGUGACAGCUAACUAUGUGCCAGCAGCUGCGGUAAAACAUAGGUCACGAGCAUUAUCCGGAUUUAUUGGGCGU